rnacentral:rRNA from 1 species
AACGAACGCUGGCGGCAUGCCUAACACAUGCAAGUCGAACGGACCCUUCGGGGUCAGUGGCGCACGGGUGCGUAACGCGUGGGAAUCUGCCUUUAGGUUCGGAAUAACUCGGGGAAACCCGAGCUAAUACCGGAUAAUGUCUUCGGACCAAAGAUUUAUCGCCUAGAGAUGAGCCCGCGUCGGAUUAGCUAGUUGGUGAGGUAAAAGCUCACCAAGGCGACGAUCCGUAGCUGGUCUGAGGGGAUGAUCAGCCACACUGGGACUGAGACACGGCCCAGACUCCUACGGGAGGCAGCAGUGGGGAAUAUUGGACAAUGGGCGAAAGCCUGAUCCAGCAAUGCCGCGUGAGUGAUGAAGGCCUUAGGGUUGUAAAGCUCUUUUACCCGGGAUGAUAAUGACAGUACCGGGAGAAUAAGCCCCGGCUAACUCCGUGCCAGCCGCCGCGGUAAAAC